GACAGAGGGGGCAAGCGUUGCUCGGAAUUACUGGGCGUAAAGGGCGCGUAGGCGGGAUGGCAAGUCGGUCGUGAAAUCCCUCGGCUUAACCGGGGAACUGCGUCUGAUACUGGAUGGCUUGAGUUCGGGAGAGGGAUGCGGAAUUCCAGGUGUAGCGGUGAAAUGCGUAGAUAUCUGGAGGAACACCGGUGGCGAAGGCGGCAUCCUGGACCGACACUGACACUGAGGAGCGAAAGCCAGGGGAGCAAACGGG
rnacentral:rRNA from 1 species